CCGAAUCAGCAGAUUUGUUUUCCGAGCGAUCCCCAUACGUGGUGUUCGAGUCGGGAGCCCUGGCUGCUGCGGCGCGCUAGCGCUGCGCUGCCCACACCCCAUCACCACGCUCCGCGGGACUUAAAAAUUACUGGGUGUGGAAGAAUUUGGGGUGUUUUCCAGAAGCUGCAGCCUCUCAGGCAGAGGUGACAGGCUGGACAGCGUGCGAGCAGGAGGGCUCUGCGUGCUCCUCAGCGCUGCUGUGUUCAUCAGCUGUUAUAUAGCAAUCAAUAAGAUGCCCUAUGGUGCUACCUGUACACAAGAGACAAGAAUGAAGAUUGUUAUGGAAACAGACUUGUACUAAAUUGUUUGACUUGCUUGAAAUAAAAAAGGAAUGUACCUGUAUUCUGGGAACAAACGAUAGAAAGUCUGGAAAUUGUGUGUUCUUCUGCUGUGAAAUUGUUUCUCCUUGCUGUGUGGUUGCAUCUUUCAAUGUCGGUUGAAAAUACCUAUGUAGAAUUCUGUGAAUAAUACCUUAUUUCCUGACUGGAUUCCCAAAGAAUCGUACCAGAAGAGUUAUACCUACCUUCUUUCCUUAGGCUGGUACUGGAUGUUUUUAAGUUACUUCUGAAGAAUCAGAUAGCUGAUCGAGCAAAAGACCAUGAUCAGAAUUCUGAGUGCGUAACAGAUGUGUUGAGGAGUUGAUUUACUCAGUAUAAACAAAAUAACUGCUGAUGGUUGAAGCACUGAAUCCAAUCAGAUGAAGAGUGUCAAAAGGAGUCUACGAAUGAAAGAUCAAGAUGGCAGUUCCACUGUUGAUUGAGAGGCUGAGGAACUGGACUAAUGCAUGAGUGCUGUGAUAUAACUGUCCAAGAAAAGGACGUUAAAACGUGGACUUCUGUGUUAUUAAACCAGAGAAGAUCUGGGUUCUGAUCAUCCUGUCAAAAUGGACUUUGCACUUGAAUUAAUGAGGGGACUGUAUUGGUGACUAUGCAGUGAUGGAUCUAUUUGAGGGCUGGGUGCCAAAACUUUGCUCUAAGGUGAUGUAUGCAUAACAGAGAAAUUAAAUUGAUAAGACAUGUUGCUAUCCCUUUGGAGAAAAUGUAAUGUUCUUUUUUCUUUUUUUAAAAAGUUACUUAAUAAAAGGUUUUGGUUUCUUUUACA